UGGAAAUGCAGCCCAGUAGGUCUCAACCUCAUUUUAUCCAAGAUGGAGUCGCUCUGGUUCCAAUGCCUCUGAUAGAAAUACACACCAUAGAAGAUGCCAUGUAACCAUUUUCCCCUGGAGUUGUGCAGUGUCAUCUGAAAUCAGGACAUCAGCUGUAACACCAUUUGGAGGCCAUGUAAAUAUUUAGGAUCGGCAUGACAGAUGCAACAUUUGGUCAGGUUCCCCGCAGAAGCUGCUGACUGUGAAAUUUUAAUUGCAUCAUUAUUAUGCCAAGUGAAAAAGGCAUAAGCAAGGAAAAAGUAAGAGGGGCAAGAGGCUCAUUACGAUGGGAAAUCUUAUUCCAUCACGUUAGGAAAAGCUGUCCAUAGCAUGAAGAUGUCAACUGCUCAUCCUGCAUCUUAGUCCAAGACAGCAACUUCUCUAAACGUGGCUUCGUUAGGGGAGAUAGAAGUUUGAGAUCACCCCAGGGAUUAACUGCAGGAGAGAUAAGUGCUAGAGUGGAAAAAUGUAAAGUUGCUAAAGACUUUAACAGGUGAGUUCAAUCUAGACUGGGGAGUGGAAGAACCGGUUCUACUCUCCUCCAAGCAAUCUAUUCUCCUCUCUGCUGUCGUCCUUCUAAAAGCCAACAUGUGACUUCCUGCUGGCAAGGAACAAAAAAGUAAUAAAAUGCAAAUAUUACUGCUUCACCGCCUUUGCAGUCGAAAGUUUAGUGCCUGCAGAAGAAAGCUCAAAUUCUUUAAUGAAGUGGGGGAGGCUCUUGUAGGU